CGCCUCUUGCACACUCAAUAAGAGGUCCAGCCUGCCCAGUGACCCUGUUCAACGGCCGCGGUAUCCUAACCGUGCGAAGGUAGCGUAAUCACUUGUUCUUUAAAUGAGGACUAGUAUGAAUGGCAUCACGAAGGUUAUACUGUCUCCUCUCUCUAAUCAGUGAAACUAAUCUCCCCGUGAAGAAGCGGGGAUGAUCAUAUAAGACGAGAAGACCCUAUGGAGCUUUAAACUAAGAAGCAAUUGCCCUCAUACCUUUGAAAUUCCAGAAAACUAAUGAGUACAAGGCACUGUGACUUCCAGUUUUAGGUUGGGGUGACCACGGAGUAAAAACUAACCUCCGCACUGAAUAGGGGCCUUCCCUAAACUAAGGGCCACAACCCUAAGAAUCAAUACAUUGACAGCAAUUGACCCAAAAAUUUGAUCAAUGAACCAAGUUACCCUAGGGAUAACAGCGCAAUCCACUUCAAGAGCUCCUAUCGACAAGUGGGUUUACGACCUCGAUGUUGGAUCAGGGUACCCCAGUGGUGCAGCCGCUACUAACGGUUCGUUUGUUCAACGAUUAAAACCCU
rnacentral:rRNA from 1 species